CAACUACUCCCUCUGUCCCAAAUUUCUUGUCUUAAAUUUGUCUAGAUACGGAUGUAUCUAAUAAUAAAAUGUGACUUGAUACAUCUGUAUCUAGACAAAUCCAAGACAAGAAUUUUGGGAUGGAGGGAGUAAUUU
rnacentral:pre_miRNA from 1 species